GGUUUCCUGAGUGUACAAGUAGCCUUCUGAGUCACGAAAUAAACCAUCAGUUGGAAGUUAGAGCUCACCCUGUUCUCCGGUCCUUUUCAUUACCCCUUCCCUUUUCCUUUUUUGCUCGUUCUGAGCUGCGCUACAAGCCUAAAAAAUCCAGAAGAACA
rnacentral:lncRNA from 1 species